AAAGACAAAGGUGAAAGCAAUCAGCUGAGAAGAAGAACACAAACUCAAAUACACGAGUAGAGACAUUGAAUUGCAUCGAAGUCUAUGACUAAUGUCAAUUUUCAGUCAUAGGCUAAUGUGCGUUUGGCUUGCAAAAUUAUAUGUAUGAGUUUUCCAUUAAAAUAUACAGGGCUAAAGGAUAAUGUAAUAUUUUAGAACUUUACAGUCUGGUUAUAUAUUAACAGAAAAAUAGGCUUACAUAUGAAUCUUAAUAAAGAUGCUCUGAAAACAACAACAAAAAAAAUGGUGGCGCAUAAAACAACAACUUAAUUCGCCCCCUGAUCCUUAGCCGAAGCACCAGAAGGAGGAAAAGGG